rnacentral:tRNA from 1 species
GGGAUUGUAGUUCAAUGGUUAGAGCACUGCCCUGUCACGGCAGAAGUUGCGGGUUCGAGUCCCGUCAAUCCCG